GACCACGUAGCUCAGCUGGCAGAGCAGUGGGCUAGUAUUCCAAAGGUCGUAGGUUCGAUUCCCACCGUGGCCA